UAAACUACGAUUAGAUACCCUAUUAUUUUAAAAUGUUAAAGUUUAAUUGAGUUAGUAUUAGUUAUGAUCUUAAAAGCUUAAAAAUUUGGCGGUAUUUUAGUCUUUUCAGAGGAACCUGUUCUUUAAUCGAUAGUCCACGAUAAAUUGAACUUAUCUUAUUAGUUUGUAUAUCGUUGUAGUUGAGUAUUUCUUUAGAAUAAAAAUAUUCAAAAUUAAUAAUUAUUAAUUAAAUCAGAUCAAGGUGCAGCUUAUAGAUAAGGAUGAAAUGGGUUACAAUAAAUAUUAUUUAUUAUGAAUUUGUAAUUGAAAAUUGCAAUGAAGGUGGAUUUGACAGUAAUGAUAAAAAUUUUUUUAUUAUGAUUUUGGCUCUAGAAUAUGUACACAUCGCCCGUCGCUCUU
rnacentral:rRNA from 1 species